GGGUCUAUAGUUUAAUGGAUCAGAAUAAGGGACUUCGGAUCCCUGGAUCGAGGUUCGAUUCCUCGUAGGCCCG
rfam:Candidatus Pacearchaeota archaeon CG1_02_32_132 cg_0.2_sub10_scaffold_739_c, whole genome shotgun sequence.